rnacentral:lncRNA from 1 species
AUAUGCUCAGCAGUUUUAUUGUCGCAGUUCAGUAUUACGGGUAAAUGAGGUACUAUUUAAAAAUCUCGAAUGAGAUAAGUUAUCCACUAAACUUCACAUACUAUGGAUGACAUACUUAUGUACUCAGCUUAUGCGAAAGACUUGCUCACCGUAGUUUGUUUAUUUAUUUUCUAGGAGAUUAGUAUUGGCCUGGGGAAGACGCAGAAGCCCCUGAGGG